UCCAUCCAAAAAAACAAACAAAAAAAAUCACCGAUUGUUUUUCUCUUGUGUGUUUCAUGUUACCUCCCUGGCACCAUGUGCUCAGGCCCCCAGAGUGGGAAUCUUGAAGUCGUUCUUCCAUCUCCACAUCACCCAGUAUUCCCUCCCCUCAACCUGUCCCAUCCACCCCCAUCUCUGCUGCUCCUGACUUGGCCUAGGCUUUCCUCAUCUCUGGCUUGAAUUCUUGCAGAAGCUGCUAACUCAGUCCUCCAGUCCCAUCCUCAGCAUUAUGAACACAAUCCUGUUCUGACAUAAUAACCUGCUUAAAGGUUGUUACCAGCUCCUUAAUGCAAACUCCUCAGCAUGGAGGUGUCCUUCUCGGUAAAAUGGGGACAGUUUAAUAAGAUAAUGUGUGUCUGGGACUUCGUAGAGACUCAGCAAAAGCUAGUUAAUACUCUUCUACCUGGAACUUGUUCUGCUUGGACCCUUCCCCCAUCCAGAGCAUCUCCCACCUGGGAAGUUGCGGCAGCCUCCAGCAGAGCAGCCCCUCACCCAGCGGCCCUCGUUCACGGACACUGUCCAAGUCUGAAGCUUGUCGGACUCCAGGGCAUCAGCUGUGAGGUUGCAGAUCUCCAGCUUUGUGAAAUGGUAGAUGAAAUCGUCAUAGGACAUCCUGAGAGGUUGGAAGAAGAGAGAGACCCAUAUGGGAGGCUGGGAAAGGUAAGACUCCAGGGCUAACAUAGCACAAUGAAAUAGUCCAGAGCCACUUGGUCAUGAUCCUAGAGAGGACCCUGUCCUUCCUUUUUAGGGUCAGUACUAUCAGUUCUGAUGUAUCCCUUGCAAUAACGACUCAAACUCAUGUGUUCUUGAUGGGAGAGCUUGGCAGCAAUUCAGUUCUCCAAAGUGUUACUGUGUGCCCCUCCACCGGGCUCAGGCACUGGGCCAGGGGAAAGAGAGAUAGUUGGGGAAGGACAGACGAUGAAACAAGCAAUUUUAAAGGUGGUGAGUAUCACAGAUAAAUUAAUCACAAUCCUGAGGAAAACAAGGGGAUCCUGAAGAAAGUUCCCUUUAAUCUGAGACUUGAAGGCUGAGUAGAAAUGAUCUGAGUGAGGGUGAGGAGGGCAUUGACUGAGCAGAGUAAGCAGAGCUUCCUCGGCUCAGGAAACGGCCCCGCGGAGGCUGGGAGGGAGCAACGUGUGUGGUGGAGGGGCACAGAGAGGUGGGAGCCACAGCGUGCUGGGCCGGUCCUGGGCUCAGUCAUCACCAUGACUCUUGGGCUCCUCUCAAAACCUCAGUCUUGCUGGGUCUCUGGCUGGAUUUGGAGAACAGGGCCCAGAUGUCCCAAGGGCUGGAAUCUGACGGCCUCUGUCCGGGGAUGGAGGCUUGAGAUUUCAGCUCCCACCCCGUCCCUUACCCUGUAGGGUCCUCUUGGGUCCUGGACUCACCAGAACUCUCCAUCCUCCGUGACCUGGUGUUGCAGACGGGCCUUCUCGUUCUUGUCCACAAAGCUCCAGUUCUUCCAACUGGAGGGAGAGUGGAGGAGUUAGGGAAGGAAAAAGAAAGGGAAGGCCUGGUGUGAGUUGGGACAGGAGGUGUCAGAGAAAUAUGAAUAAGUUCAGAGAAUAGGUCAUCUCCAAACUGCAGCCAGUGUGAACCAUCGAAAUGCAAAUCUGAUCUGAUACCCUCAGUGUAAAACCCAAUAAUUGCUUCCCACCAUCCUCAGGAUUAAGACCACACUUUUUGAAUGGUUUAUAAGGGCCUGACUCUUCUCUGGCUGAAUCUUUAACCGUUCCUCACACUUUAAAGUUAGGAGUUGGGCUCUGGAAAUAGGUUUUCUCAACUGCAAAGGGGGAAUGAUUAUAUCACCUACUCACAGGGCUGUGAUGAGCAAGAAAUGAAAUAACGCAUGCAAAACUUUUAGAACAGACCCAUCAUCUAAUAAGUAACUGUCUGAGUUACUGAGAGAAAGACCAGACAUGUAAACUUCUCCUUCCUCCUGCCACCCCACGAAACAUCCCAGUUUUAUGUUUUAAAAGGCUGGGCAGUUUUACACACUCUUUCUCUCGAAGAAGGAGGGAAUAAAGCACAUUUGUGUUUCAGGCAUGUGGAGGAGAAUGAAACUAAACUAGUUUGGAGAGGUAAGGGAUUGAGGAAGUGCUUGGAACCAGGGAAUACCGGAGGGGAAGUGGAGAUUCCUGAGACCAGCAGGAGGGGCACAGUGGCGGGGAGUUGGGGGGAGGGUCUCCUUGUGUGACUGAGGCUGGGCCCCACUAGUCAGUGACCCCUGCAGUGGAGGUGUUGGCAGCAAGUGAGUUAAGGCCGGACACCAAGAUCUGAGACUGGAGGACACAGCGAGGGUCCCUGUGGGUGACUCGGGUCAGUGGAGUGGACAACUGAUGGGGCACCGAGGGCCUUCCCAGAGCAGAGAGCCCAGUUCAAAUGCCACUUCCUCCAGGCAACUUUCUCCCUUCCUGUCCCACCCAGACCAGGAGAAGGGCUCCCUCUCUGUGACCCUUACCAUAGCAUUUCUCUCAACGAUCAGUGUUUUUCUGUCCUUCCCACUGGACCUUAAAGCCCACAGGGCAGGCCCUGAAUCUCUGCAUUCAUUUCUAAGUCCCCAGACAGUAGCAUGGGGCCUGGCACAUACUGCACACUGAGGAACUGGGGAUUUGUUGCGCCGUAAGAGAAGGGAACGGUAAGGAGACCAGGAUCAGCACCUUAUCGGUCUACCAGGCGAGGCUGCCUGCUCACGGAAGGGCCCCAGUGCUUAGACCUGUGCUUGGGAUUCAGUAGGUGCUCAGCGAAUACUUGCUAAGUGAAUGAAUGGCCGAAUGAACCAGUAAUUACGGUGCCCUGAGAUAAGAGGUAUGUGGAGGUAAGCCAGGGGCUGAAGGACACACACAGCCUGGGUGUGGUCCUUCCCAGCUGCUGAGUCCUGCUCUCCCGCCUUGGGAAUAAAGGAGCUCCAGGGCCUACUCUCCAACCAGAGAGGCGGAGUCAGGAGCCAGUGAUUGGGGUGGGACAAUAGAGGCUUUGUGAACCUUCUGGAGCCUUCAUAAGAGCUUCCCCAGGUGUGCUAUUUUUGCUGCCCCCAGUCCCUUGCUCUCAGUGAUAAGCAGUAAAUUUCUUGCAAAGGGCCUGUGCAUCUCUUUAUGGGGAUAGUGAGGGAGAGGAAAUCUUAGCACUGGUUAAGCGCUCUCCUGGCACAACCGCAUUUUCUCCUCAUAACAGCCCACCGGGUAGGUGCUAACGUUGUUCCCAUUUUACAGAUAAGGCAACAGAGAUUCCGAGAAGGGAAGUCACCUGUCCAGUCCAGACCCCUGCAUCAAGACUCCCCUCCUGCCUGGACCUAGCCCAGGCUUUCUAGACAUCUUUCCUUUCCAGACAGUGGCCAUCAGCAAGCUCUCUGGAUCCCAGGUUCCCGUGGCUCUGCUCCCAGCCCUUCCUGAAGCCCACGUCCCCUCUUCUCCUCUGCGGAUCCUUGGUUUUAAGGGUGAUUUUAGACCAAGCAUUUGUAGUACUCUUGUGGCUCGGUACCCAGCCCUGCCUUGCCCCAGGCCUCGUUGUCCCCUAUUCGUGGGGUCCCCGCACCCACCUGUCACUCCAGGAUCCAUUCCACUCCACCUGGCCCCAGGGGUUCCGCAGCCGCACCAGCUUCACUUUCUCACCCUUGUACAGGGCCUUGAGCAAAGAGAAAAAGCUUUCUCCCUUUGGGCCCUUUCUGAAAGGGGGUCUUCUGUCUUGCCCUGAGGGCUGGGGUGGGAGUGGGGAGAGAAUCCUGUACAGGGGCCUGUCCUGCCUGGCCCCGGUCAAGGACACUAAUCACAAGUCCCCUGUGGAAUGGCAGGGUGAUGGGUCAGAACCUUAGGGCUGAGUCUGCAGGAGUCAGGCUUGGCCACCACCUUGCCGUCUUCUAAGAAGUGAUUUUCCCAGUGAACAUCUGGCCAUUCAGAGCUUUGGGAGAGGAGGCAGGGAAUAUAAUGUAGGGCUCUGCUAGCACAAGUUGCCUCUGUGUGAAUUAGAUAAAACGCCCCUGCUGGCUGAGGAACUAUAGAAAAUGUCCCUUCCAGAUGGAUCAAUCAGAAAAAGGGGCCCUUCCUCCUGUCUGCUGCAUGGGCUGCUGCAGACGACUGCCCCUCUCUGCCCAUCUCUGUGAACAGGGCACAACUCGCCCAAUUGUGCACAAGGGGCCUGACAAGGUUCCUGUCUGUGACGUGACCCAGUGAAGGCCAGACAUCCCAGGGGAAGCAAAACCUUGGAACUGACCAUGAAAAACAAGGAACACAAGAGCCCAUGAUAUCAACUUCAUAAAACCAAAGUGCUUUCUAUUUGUUCUUUGGAAAUGUUGGGGCAAUUGCUAUCUUUAGCACUAAAAACAAACAUAAACUGAGCACCAUCUUGUGGCAAGAUCCACCUGCCAGUCCCAGUGGUCUCCUCCAACCCCAGGCGCUCGGCCUGAGUUCCUGAUUGGAGGCAAAUUCUACAGAUGUGAAGGGACACAGAAAGCCAAGUCCUGACUUCGGGAGGUUCACCCAAGUAGCCCCUCAAGUCCCGUCCCGCCGAGUCCCGCCAGGCUCACCUCCUCCAGCCCAGUGACUGAGUAGGCGUGGCCUUUGACCAGCCCACAGGCCAUUCUUGUCUCGUACUGAACUGGAACAAUCGUCUGUGGAGUGAAAACCAGACAACUUGUCAGGGGUUGCUGCCUGAGACAAAGUUCACACUGGUUCAUGUCCUGGGUUCUGCGAGGACGAGGACUCCUCCGCGCCCUGGAAGUGUGCCUCCCAGCCAUGAGAAGGCCCUCACUAGCCCUUUCAGAGAGCCAAGAAGAUGCAGCCCAGACAAGUGGUUUCCCCAGACCGUCGGAGAGCGACAUGGAGCUGGGGCACGAGAACAUGCUCAAGAAAUCAAAAGCGCCCAGGGAGAGAAUUCUGAGGAGGCCAGAGGAGAGUCCUGCUGAGACAUGACCAUGCCUCAGGGAGCAGGGGUAGUUCCUCCAUUUGAGAUUUGCAGCCACAGGAGAUCCUGGGCAGAGGGGUAGGAUCACCAAAGCCCAGUGAGCCCUAGACGGAUCUCUGUGGCUUCACUUUGCCUGAUAGCAUAACAGCUUUAAGAGGAGCAGCCUGGAGGCCUUUUCAAGAGAAACUGCCUGGACCAUGGAGUUUGAAGGACCUCCCACAGAGAUUCCCUCCAAAAGCUGCCUCCCGCACCUUCCUCAGGAACCUUGGAGAGGGCAAGUUAUUCCAACCCAGACCCUUGGAAGGCCUCAGGAGGAGCCUGUGUGUGAGGUGCUGGCUGCUGAGGAAGAGCUUUCCCACAGUCCACACCAAAGAUAAUACUUCCCGAACAAGAGGCUGAGACAGAGGAGACUGGUGAAGCAGACAAGCUAACCAACCAGACAGAAAAUUGACACUCAUCCACAUGGCAAAUGUCAUCUUUGUUGAAAGACUCGUUUAAUAUGAAGCUAUUCUGGGGCAAUUUCAACAAGAGUUCGAGUUACAAAAGCACAUUUUGUGAGCAUAUAGAUUCUGUGUGCCCAAGGGACAUGCGUGGUACAUGGACAGUUUCAGAGCUGACUUCUAAGGAAGAUGAGGACACCAAGGCUCAGAGAGGUUAAGAAACCUGCCCAAGGACACACAGCUAGUAAGUGAGAGAAGCCAGAUACAUGGCUUCUUUUCCCAUUGUUCCACACUGCUCCCUCACACUGAUAUACUGUCUGAGUAAAGAUGCACCUUGAGAGUUAGGGCAGUGUCAUUACUGUCACAGCUUUGGAGGGACACUAGAAAACAUGGCUCUUGCUUUUUUUUUUCUCUGCCAGGGAAAAGAGGUACAGGAGGGAAAGUAAAGAUCUUUUCCCCCAAGACAUGGUAACAUAGAUAUUUAGUAUCAGCAUAUGUCCCAAGGGCCACAGGACUUGAAAGCUGGGGAGAGCCGAGGGUAAAUUUGGUGUGGGCCUCAGAGGCCUCCCCAUCUGUUGGCGGGUGCGUUCUUUUUUAUUUUUGGCGGGUGCGUUCUUUAUUCAAGGUAACCCAAUAGGACAUCCCUGGCCUGAGCAGUUUUCAAAUCCAGGCACUACCAAAUAUGUGUAUUCCAACAGAGACCGACAGAGGGUGCUCUUGUUUUUGUUUGGAUGUGUCAUGCUUUGGGUUUUUUUUGUU